UGGAUAAAUGAUGACAAGUGGUGGCAUAUGAGUCUUAGAUGAUGAACACUACAGAUCUGGAACUCUGGGGUCCAA
ensembl:snoRNA